GAACGCUGGCGGCGUGCUUAACACAUGACAAGUCGAACGAAGCGACUAUGAUUGAGUAGUUUCGGUUGAUUGAUUAGUUGACUUAGUGGCGACGGGUGAGUAACGCGUGGGUAACCUGCCUCGUACAGGGGGAUAACAGUUAGAAAUGACUGCUAAUACCGCAUAACCCGCUAGGGUCGCAUGACCCGGACGGAAAAGAUUUAUCGGUGAAAGAUGGACUCGCGUCCGAUUAGGUAGUUGGUGAGGUAACGGCCCACCAAGCCGACGAUCGGUAGCCGGACUGAGAGGUUGAACGGCCACAUUGGGACUGAGACACGGCCCAGACUCCUACGGGAGGCAGCAGUGGGGAAUAUUGCACAAUGGGCGCAAGCCUGAUGCAGCAACGCCGCGUGAGGGAAGACGGUUUUCGGAUUGUAAACCUCUGUCUUUGGUGACGAAGAAGUGACGGUAGCCAAGGAGGAAGCCACGGCUAACUACGUG
rnacentral:rRNA from 1 species